CCUACGGGUGGCAGCAGUGGGGAAUAUUGCACAAUGGGCGAAAGCCUGAUGCAGCGACGCCGCGUGAGUGAUGAAGUAUUUCGGGAUGUAAAGCUCUAUCAACAGGGAAGAAAAAAGACUGUUCCUGACUAAGUAGCCCCUGCUAACUACGUGCCAGCAGCCGCGGUAAUACGUAGGGGGCCAGGGGUAUCCGGAUUUACUGGGGUUAAAGGGAGCGUAGACGGUUGUGCAAGUCUGAAGUGAAAGCCCAGGGCUCAACCCUGGAACUGCCUUUGACACUGUGGAGCUUGAGUGCUGGAGAGGUAAGUGGAAUUCCUAGUGUAGCGGUGAAAUGCGUAGAUAUUAGGAGGAACACCAGUGGCGAAGGCGGCUUACUGGACAGUAACUGACGUUGAGGCUCGAAAGCGUGGGGAGCAAACAGGAUUAGAUACCCCAGUAGUC
rnacentral:rRNA from 1 species